rnacentral:rRNA from 1 species
GAUGAACGCUGGCGGCGUGCUUAAUACAUGCAAGUCGAACGGAGACAUUAGCAAUAAUGUUUUAGUGGCGAACGGGUGAGUAACGCGUUGGUGACCUGCCCCGAAGAGAGGGAUAACAGUUCGAAAGGAUUGCUAAUACCUCAUGUGGUUGUUUGGAUUAGAUGCCUUACAACUAAACGGAUUUAUUCGCUUCGGGAGGGGCCUGCGUACCAUCAGCUAGUUGGUAGGGUAAUGGCCUACCAAGGCUAUGACGUUAGGGGACCUGAGAGGGUGGCCCCCCACAAUAGGAACGUAGAAACAACGGUCCGACUAACACCUACCGGGUGGGCAG